CCCGUCGGAGAUGAUGAGGUUGUUACUCAUAUUCUCAAUGGUCUAGAUUUUGAUUAUCAACCUUUUGUAUCUUCAAUGCUUAGCCGUGGAGAUUCCAUCUCGUUUUCAGGUCUUUACUCUCAAUUGAUAGAGUAUGAUC
rnacentral:snoRNA from 1 species